rnacentral:rRNA from 1 species
UACAGAGGUCUCAAGCGUUGUUCGGAUUCAUUGGGCGUAAAGGGUGCGUAGGCGGCGCGGUAAGUCGGGUGUGAAAUCUCGGAGCUUAACUCCGAAACUGCAUUCGAUACUGCCGUGCUUGAGGACUGGAGAGGAGACUGGAAUUUACGGUGUAGCGGUGAAAUGCGUAGAUAUGACCCGGAACACCGAUUGCGAAGGCAGCCCACUAAGCAAUGAUUGACGCUGAGGCACGAAAGCGUGGGGAUCAAACAGG